rnacentral:rRNA from 1 species
GACGAACGCUGGCGGCGUGUUUAACACAUGCAAGUCGAACGAAGUGGCGAACGGGUGAGUAACACGUGAGUAACCUGCCCUCUUCUUUGGGAUAACGGUCGGAAACGGCUGCUAAUACUGGAUCGUGGGGGAUGGGCUCGCGGCCUGUCAGGUUGUUGGUGGGGUGAUGGCCUACCAAGGCUUUGACGGGUAACCGGCCUGAGAGGGUGGCAGGUGACAGUGGGACUGGGAUAUGGCCCAGACGCGUACGGGAGGCGGCAGUGGGGGAUAUUGCACAAAGGGCGCAAGCCGGAUGCCGCGAGGCGGCGUGAGGGAUGAAGGCUUUCGGGUUGUAAUCCUUUUGCGCUCAUGGUGCGGUAGUGGAUAAAGAAGCGCCGGCUAACUACGUGCCAGCAGCCGCGGUAAUAC